rnacentral:rRNA from 1 species
GAUGAGCGCUACGCGGCCGGCCUGCCUAAUACAUGCAAGUCGAACGGGACUGCGCUUGUUGCUCCGCACAAUAGUGGCGAACGGGUGCGUAACGCGUAUGCCACCUACCCAUCACAGGGGGAUAGCCCGGAGAAAUCCGGAUUAACACCGCAUAUGACCAGCAUAUGGCAUCAUCAUCUGGUCAAAUCUGAAGAGGUGAUGGAUGGGCAUGCGUGCCAUUAUCUAGUUGGCGGGGUAACGGCCCACCAGGGCCACUAUGGCUAGGGGAUCUGAGAGGAUUGCCCCCCACACUGGUACUGAGACACAGACCACACUCCUACGGGAGGCAGCAGUAGGGAAUAUUGGUCAAUGGAGGGAACUCUGAACCAGCCGUGCCGCGUGCGAGACCACCGCCCUAUGGGUUGUAAACUGCUUUUGUACGGGAAUAAACGUACCUUCGUGAAGGUAUCUGAAUGUACCGUAAGAAUAGAGAUCGGCUAACUCCGUGCCAGCAGCCGCGGUUAUACAGAAGAUCCGAGCGUUAUCCGGAUUUAUUGGGUUUAAAGGGAGCGUAGGCCGCCCGUUAAGUCGGGGGUGAAAGACGGCCUCUCAUCUGUCACAGUGCCCUUGAUACUGAUGGGCUAAAAUGUAUCAGAUGUAGGCAGAAUGAGACAAGUAGCGGAGAAAUGCAUAGAUAUGUCACAGAACCCCUAUCGAAAGCGCAGCUUGCUAAACUAUGAUAGACUGCUGACGCUCAAAAGCGUGUGUAUCGAACAGGAUUAGAUACUCUGGUUCCUCCACCCCCCUAAACGAUGAUGACUCGAUGUGGGAUAUAUAUUGUCAGUGUCCAAGAGAAAGUGAUAUGUCAUCCACGUGGAGAGUACGCCGCGCAAGGGUGAAACUCAAAGGAAUUGACGGGGGCCCGCACAAGCAGAGGAGCAUGUUGUUUAAUUCGGUUAUACGCGAGGCACCUUACCCGGGCUUGAAAGUUAGUGAAGGGUGCAGAGACGCACCUCUCCUUCGGGACAGGAAAAUAGGUGGUGCAUGGGUGUUGUCAGCUUGUGCCGUGAGGUGUUGGGUUAAGUCCCGCAAAGAGCGCAACCCCUAUGUAUAGUUGCCAGCAUUUAAGGUGGGGACUAUAGACAGACUCCCCGCGCAAGGGGAGAGGAAGGAUGGGAAGAUGUCAAGUUAUCAUGCCCCUUAUGUCGGGGGCUACACACGUGCUACAAUGGUCGGUACAGAGGGCCGCUACCCGGCAACGGGGUGCCAAUCUCAAAAAGCCGAUCACAGUUAGGAUGGGGGCCUGCAAGUCGCCCCCGUGAAGUUGGAUUUGCUAGUAAUCGUGUAUCAGCAAUGACGCGGUGAAUACGUUCCCGGGCCUUGUACACACCGCC